rnacentral:rRNA from 1 species
UACGAAGGGGGCUAGCGUUGCUCGGAAUCACUGGGCGUAAAGGGUGCGUAGGCGGGUCUUUUAAGUCGGGGGUGAAAUCCUGGAGCUCAACUCCAGAACUGCCUUCGAUACUGGCGAUCUUGAGUCCGGAAGAGGUGAGUGGAAUUCCUAGUGUAGAGGUGGAAUUCGUAGAUAUUAGGAAGAACACCAGUGGCGAAGGCGGCUCACUGGUCCGGUACUGACGCUGAGGUGCGGAAAAGCG